rnacentral:tRNA from 1 species
UGUUCUGUAGCUUAGUUGGUUGAAGCGCCGGUCUAGUAUACACGGAGUCGUGAGUUCAAAUCUGUUGGAACAU